rnacentral:rRNA from 1 species
GACGAGGGAUCCUAGCGUUGUUCGGAAUCAUUGGGCGUAAAGAGUAUGUAGGCGGCCUUGUAAGUCAGUUGUGAAAGCCCCGGGCUCAACCCGGGAAGUGCAAUUGAUACUGCUUGGCUUGAAUGUGGAAGAGGGCAGUAGAAUUCCAGGUGUAGUGGUGAAAUACGUAGAUAUCUGGAGGAAUACCGGUGGCGAAGGCGGCUCACUGGAUCGAAACUGACGCUGAGGUGCGAAAGCUAGGGUAGCAAACGGG